rnacentral:rRNA from 1 species
UCGGCAUCGACCAGAGGGGAAAGGAGCAAUCCGCUUUGAGAUGGCCUCGCGUCCGAUUAGCUAGUUGGUGAGGUAAUGGCCCACCAAGGACGAUCGGUAGCCGGAUGAGAGGUUGAACGGCCACAUUGGGAUGAGACACGGCCCAGACUCUACGGGAGGCAGCAUGGGGAAUAUUGGUCAAUGGGGUAAGCCUGAACCAGCCAAGUCGCGUGAGGGAUGAAGGUUUAUGGAUGUAAACCUUUUUAUAAGGGAAUAAAGUGCGGGACGUGUCCCGUUUUGUAUGUACCUUAUGAAUAAGGAUCGGCUAACUCCGUGCCAGCAGCCGCGGUAAUACGGAGGAUCCGAGCGUUAUCCGGAUUUAUUGGGUUUAAAGGGUGCGUAGCGGCCUUUUAAGUCAGCGGUGAAAGUCUGUGGCUCAACCAUAGAAUUGCCGUUGAAACUGGGGGGCUUGAGUAUGUUUGAGGCAGGCGGAAUGCGUGGUGUAGCGGUGAAAUGCAUAGAUAUCACGCAGAACCCCGAUUGCGAAGGCAGCCUGCCAAGCCAUUACUGACGCUGAUGCACG